rnacentral:rRNA from 1 species
AGUGAACGCUGGCGGUAGGCCUAACACAUGCAAGUCGAACGGCAGCACAGGAGAGCUUGCUCUCUGGGUGGCGAGUGGCGGACGGGUGAGGAAUACAUCGGAAUCUACUUUUUCGUGGGGGAUAACGUAGGGAAACUUACGCUAAUACCGCAUACGACCUACGGGUGAAAGCAGGGGACCUUCGGGCCUUGCGCGAUUGAAUGAGCCGAUGUCGGAUUAGCUAGUUGGCGGGGUAAAGGCACACCAAGGCGACGAGCCGUAGCUGGUCUGCGAGGAUGAUCAGCACCACUGGAACUGAGACACGGUCCAGACUCCUACGGGAGGCAGCAGUGGGGAAUAUUGGACAAUGGGCGCAAGCCUGACCCAGCCAUACCGCGUGGGUGAAGAAGGCCUUCGGGUUGUAAAGCCCUUUUGUUGGGAAAGAAAUCCAGCUGGCUAAUACCCGGUUGGGAUGACGGUACCCAAAGAAUAAGCACCGGCUAACUUCGUGCCAGCAGCCGCCGCGG